GUUUAUGGCCAUACCACCCCAAUUUCAUCUGAUGUUGAAGCUAAGCAGGAUUGGGCCUGAUUAAUACUUGAAUGGGAGGCAGAGAUCUGAGUGAAAUCAACU
ensembl:rRNA 5S_rRNA 5S ribosomal RNA